rnacentral:rRNA from 1 species
CAGCCGCCACGGUAAUACGAAGGGGGCUAGCGUUGUUCGGAUUUACUGGGCGUAAAGGGCGCGUAGGCGGACUGAUAAGUCAGGGGUGUAAUCCCAAGGCUCAACCUUGGAACUGCCUUUGAUACUGUUUGUCUUGAGUUCGAGAGAGGUAAGUGGAACUGCGAGUGUAGAGGUGAAAUUCGUAGAUAUUCGCAAGAACACCAGUGGCGAAGGCGGCUUACUGGCUCGAAACUGACGCUGAGGCGCGAAAGCGUGGGGAGCAAACAGGAUUAGAUACCCCCGUAGUCCCUGUCUCUUAUAC